CUUUGACGUUAAUUAUUCGUCCUGUCCUCUUCUCUCUAACUUCGAUUGAAUGAACUGCUCCUACCUACCUUCGUCAGUUUCACUACACUUCACUGACACUCAACUGAGAAAAACUCCCUUAAAAAUCCUACUUUAUCGUAUUCUGUAAAUCGCGAUUUAUUAAACUAAUUCACAAACUUAAUCCUGAUUUAUAAAAACUCGUGACCUAAAACACAAUGGGAGUACUAACAUUCGGAAUUAUAAUAGGAAUCAUUAUCUUAUUUUUCGCCAUUGUUUGUAUCAUCACCAUUGAAGGCACCUGCAAGCGUCGCUCUACUUAACUCCCCCCCCCUCUCUCUACUAUGUGGCGAAGACAAUUCAGCAGUAGCGCGACUUCCAUUAACGUCCUUAAAGACAAAAAAUGGGACGCCGUCAUCAUCGGCGGAGGACACAACGGCUUGACUGCAGCGGCUUAUUUAGCUCGCGGCGGAUUGUCUGUAGCCGUCCUUGAGCGGCGUCAUAUCAUCGGUGGUGCGGCUAUUACGGAGGAGCUUAUCCCUGGGUUUAAGUUUUCUCGUUGUAGUUAUCUCCAGAGUCUUCUUCGUCCUUCUGUCAUUAAGGAGCUGGAAUUGGAGAAGCAUGGAUUGAAGAUGUUAGCAAGGAAUCCUUCGUCGUUUACGCCGUGUUUGGAUGGGAAGUACCUUCUGUUAGGGCCUGAUAAAGAGCUUAAUCGUUCUGAGAUCUCAAAAUUCUCCGUAAAUGAUGCUGAUGCUUAUCCUAGAUAUGAGAGUCAGCUCGAAAGCUUCUGUAAAUUCUUGGAUCCUAUUCUGGAUUCUCAGACUCCUGAAAAUUUUGAAGGCACCUCAUCAUUUGGUGACAAGAUGAAAAAUAAGCUGUACAAAUCAAGUUUUUGGUCUGGUUGUCUUCACCGUGCAGCCUCCCUAGGGCAAAAGGAGAUGGUGGAUUUCAUGCACCUUCUUUUGUCCCCAGCUUCAAAACUUCUGAAUAACUGGUUUGAGUCUGAUGUUCUGAAAGCAACACUGGCUACAGAUGCUGUAAUUGGAAGCAUGGCAAGUGUACACACGCCAGGUAGUGCGUAUGUUUUGCUGCAUCAUGUGAUGGGAGAAACGAAUGGGGAACGCGGCAUAUGGUCGUAUGUCGAAGGAGGUAUGGGUUCUGUAUCGUUAACCAUUAGCCAUGCUGCCAAGGAAGCUGGAGCUAAUAUAAUUACUAAUGCUGAAGUAUCACAGCUGCUGAUUGGAGAUUCUGGAGCUGUGAAAGGGGUAUUGCUUAAAGAUGGAACAGAAAUUCAUUCAUCUGUUGUACUAUCAAACGCAACCCCACAUAAAACCUUUGUGGAAUUAGUGCCAAAUGAUAAACUUCCUGAUGAUUUUCUUCGAUCCAUUAAGAACUGUGACUAUGCCUCUGGAACCACAAAAAUUAAUUUAGCAGUUGAUAAGUUGCCUCAGUUUGGCUGUUGCAACAACAAAAUAAGCCAUCUGAAUGGUGGUCCUGAGCACACUGGCACAAUUCACAUUGGUUCAGAAAGCAUGGAGGAGAUUCAUGCAGCCUGUCAAGAUGCCUUGAAUGGCAUACCAUCACGAAGACCUGUUAUCGAAAUGACCAUCCCUUCAGUGUUAGACAAAACAAUAUCUCCUCCAGGAAAACACGUGAUCAACUUAUUUAUUCAAUACACACCUUAUCAACCAUCAGAUGGUAGCUGGCAGGACACUGCAUACAGGGAAUCAUUUGCAAAACGGUGUUUUUCCUUGAUUGAUGAGUAUGCGCCUGGAUUCAGCUCAUCAGUUAUUGGAUAUGAUAUGCUUACUCCUCCAGACCUGGAAAGAGAAAUUGGCUUAACAGGAGGGAAUAUUUUUCAUGGAGCUAUGGGAUUAGAUUCUCUCUUUCUUAUGAGACCCGUAAAAGGAUGGUCGAAUUAUAGGACACCACUACAAGGAUUGUAUCUGUGUGGAAGCGGAGCUCAUCCAGGUGGUGGGGUUAUGGGAGCACCGGGGCGUAAUGCUGCACAUGUAGUUCUUAAUGAUGUAAAGAAGAAAUGAGUAAUGGGCAAUGAUCGUCUGGUAAGAGUAAAUUGAUUCAGACAAGAUUCAAGCUGGACUGUUAUUCCUGAGUGUUGAAUAUUCAUAAUUUUAGUUUUCUUGUCGUACAAAAGGUCGAGAGGGCCUGGAGCUGCUGGAUCCAUCUCUGCUGCAAUUCAACAAUAACUAAGCGUUAUGUAUUGUAAAAAUAAUUAAGUACUCAAAUUGUUUACUUAUGUUAUUUAUUUGUUUGAUAAUCUCUACGUUUGUAUACUCAAAUACAGUUACUGUUUACCUUGACGUGCAAGUUCUAGUGUUGUCACCGUCACUACCACACCGUCGACAAGCGUUGCGUCUCCGCGAUCCUUCGUCCAUUUCGUUCGUGAUCCUCUUGGACUUAGGUCUUCCUAAUCCACGAAUGUGAUCUGGAUCGUGUAGCACCUCAACACCGAUGUAUUGAGGCCAUGACCUCUUAUCAAUUAACGACAAGAAUAUGCAUUCAUAUGUGUUAACAUAGCUCUGGGUCGUGUAGCAGGAGUCGACAAAACGCUCAUAGGAUAAGUGUCGUUUAAUACAAACGGCAAGAAUAUGAGAACAAGGUAAGUGAUAUAUGGAGGGUUUGUUACAAGUGCAUUUCAUCUCUCUCAUAUCUACACUUUGUAUUUCAUCUCUCUCAUAUCUCAUGGUAGUUUGCCUUCUCGGUGUUACGGGUUAUAAUCCUAGUGGCGUGUGAAAUGUAUUUAUUUCCCCCAAUUAGCCACGCGUUCGCAUUCUCGCGUCUUUUAACAAAGUAAUCAUUAACACGAUAGAAGGUGAACUCCACAAGAGUGGUUAUAGGCAAGAAACGCACACCCUUCAUUACGUUAUUGAAUACUUCGGCCAAGUUGGUAUUAGUAACACCAUACCUAUACCCUCCAUCGUGACAUAUUGACCAUUUAGACAUUUCACCAACUUGAUCAAUCCAAAAAAGUGCUUCCCGAUUAGCAACACCAAUGGCCUUCAAUCCCUCGACGACCUUAUGUGGUUGUCUUUGCUCUGCAGUCCUUCCAUAUAUCUUCUUCAACUUCACAUUACCCAUUUGGCGGUCGAAGUUACUUAACAAAUGCGGCAAGCAAAACCUAUGAUGGGCGUUCGGAGGUUGCAAUUCCGGCUCCUCCAUGAUUGCUAGAAUGCCCGCAUGUCUAUCGGAAAUAACGCAUAACCCUGGACUAUGCAUCACAUGCUUACGAACA